CCUACGGGAGGCAGCAGUGGGGAAUAUUGCACAAUGGGGGAAACCCUGAUGCAGCGACGCCGCGUGAGCGAUGAAGUAUCUCGGUAUGUAAAGCCCUAUCAGCAGGGAAGAAAAUGACGGUACCUGACUAAGAAGCCCCGGCUAACUACGUGCCAGCAGCCGCGGUAAUGCGGAGGGGGCAAGCGUUAUCCGGAUUUACUGGGUGUAAAGGGGGCGUAGUCGGUCCUGCAAGGCAGAUGUGAAAGCCGCGGGCUCAACCCCGGGACUGCAUUUGAAACUGUAAUGCUAGAGUGUCGGAGAGGCAGGCGGAAUUCGUGGUGUAGCGGUGAAAUGCGUAGAUAUUAGGAAGAACACCGGUUGCGAAGGCGGCCUGCUGGACGAUAACUGACGUUGAGGCACGAAAGCGUGGGGAGCAAACAGGAUUAGAUACCCUUGUAGUC
rnacentral:rRNA from 1 species